rnacentral:lncRNA from 1 species
GAGCUGUCAGUGGAGCAAAUGCGUGAAUUCUUCUAUCUUGAGACCCUAGUUUGGCACGCAAUUGCUGUGAGGCUUCCCCUUCUGCCUCCUUCUGUUGUGUCCAGAAGAGCCCUUACUAGUUUUAAUGAGAUUUCCCUCUUCUGUUCCUGAUAUUCAAGUUCUAGAAGCAUUCUUCAGUUAAAUGCUUGGUGUCCAAAAGUGCUCUGUUGUUUUGUUCUUGUUUUGUUUGUUCUCACAUUUCUGCCCCUGCCUGGAAAAGUCCUACAGACCCUUCGUAGGAAGUUGCUUCCUCCUAACCCCAACUCGCUUAUGCUCCUUCAGCAAAGACUUGACUGAACCACUCUUGUCAUAAAUGAUUGACAGCUUUGCUAUCCUCAGAUUGCUGUGGGCAGUGGCUGAGUGACUCAGCAGUUGCUAUAUUGUUUUUGAAACUUAGCCAUGGAAAGCCGGUAGGCCAUGGUUCUAACUUGUAUUUCCCUUGACAUGCUAAAUAGUGAGAUGCCGUUUUGCCAUUCCAUUCAUACAUUGCAGUUAUCUUUGGGGGGAGCAUUUUUGUCAUGAGGGAAGGGUAUGAGUAAGGAGUGAAUCUUUUGUCUCAAUGACUGGUGAUGGCUGCUCAUUCUCCCUACUGCAGCAACACUGGCUUCUCAGAAAUAUUUAAUUGUCUGGAACUUCCUUGUUUCUUGUGAGUCCACCCUCACCUUCUGGAACUGGCCAUUUUAAAAAAUGGUGAAUCUGAAGAUGUUGGGUACCUUUCACUGAACUGCAAUGCUCUCACUGCAUGCAUUGCACCAGGCUGAACACCCCAUGCCUUGCCUUACGCCUCUCAGUAAGUGCCAGAGAUCUCCUAUGUUGAGAAACUGGGAGAGCAACAAUGUCCCGCCUGCAGCACCUCAGCGGUUACUACUGGAUCGCCUGGGGUGUAGGGAAGGUAAGCCCAGGAUUGUUCACAAAGCCUUUUUUAACUUCUCCCACCCUUGAAGCCUUUCAUUUAGAUCAAAAUAUUUUGUUGAAGAGUCAAGCUGAAAGUACUAAGUUGUAGGUGCUGCCAUUAGGAAAAAAUUGUGCUAAGGUUGGCCUUAGGCUAGCUGUGUCGGCCUGGAUAACACCCAUUGUUAUCAAGUAUAACAUGAAUAUAUGUCAGGAGGUUAUAGAACCAGAUCUAAGCACUAGGGUACCAUGCACUGUUUCUGGAUGUAUGUAGUGAUGUUUCAGCUCUAAAUCACACAGCUUUCCUCUUUUAAUGUACAGUGGACGCUCAGGUUGCGAACGUGAUCUGUGUGGGAAGCACAUUCACAACCUGCAGCGUUUGCAACCCACAGCGCCACGUCUGCGCAUGCGUGGGUCACAGUUUGGCGCUUCUGCACAUGCGCAAGCGCCAAAACCUGGAAGUUACCCAUUCCAGUACUUUUGGGUUCGGCGCGGUGCGCAACCCAAAAUCGCGCAACCCGAAGCGUCUGUAACCUGAGGUAUGACUGUAUAUUGUAUGCCUUCCAGGGAGAGGCUGCGGUAUAUCUGUUGGUCAUAUGAAAUAGCUUUUUGAGGAAGAGUGCUCUAGCAAGAAUACCUGUUUUGUUUACAAGCUUAUGGUGCGUUGAGUGAACCUUAUGUAAGAUGGUGAAUACAAUGUGUUCUAUGUGAAGGAAGAGAGACAGCUUGGUGCCUGAGGUUAGAGAGAAAAUAUAGAUGGCACCUCUCACGGUGGUGUGAUGCAGCAGCAAAAAGCUAAUUCUAUUCUAGGCUGCAUCAAGGUAUAGAGUCCUGAUCAAGGGAAGUAGAAGUAGAAGUAGAAGUCCUGCUCUAUUCUGCCUUGGGUGAGACUACACUUGGAGUACUAUGUCCAAUUCUGGGCACCAGAACUGAAGAAGGAUAUUGAAAAGCUGGAAUGUGUGCAGAGGAGAGUGACAAAGAUGAUCAAGGUAUUUUUUAGCCUGGAGGAGACUGAGAGGGGAUAUGAUAGCCAUCUUCAAAUAGCUAAAAGGCUGUCACAUGGAGGAUGGAGCAGGUUUGUUUUCUCGUGGUUUGAAGGUUAGGACCAGUACCAGCGGAAUCAAGUUACAAGAAAGGAGAUUCCAGCUAAACAUUAGGAAGAACUUUCAAACAGCAAGAGUUGUUGGACAGUAGAAUGUACUCCCAGGACAGCUGCUGGACUCUCAUUCCUUGGAGAUUUUUAAUCAGAGAUUGGAUGCUUUAGUUGAUAUUCCUGCAUUGCUGGGGGUUGGACUAGAUGUUCCUUGGGGUUCCUUUCAACUCUACAGUUCUAUGGAAAAAACAGUGAUAGACUGAAUGGAAGUCAUGUUCAAUGCUCUUUAAUAGUACCCCAAAAUGUGCCACCUGAGGUGAGCUUAAUGGCUUGCCCUGUGAGUCUAUUCUUGUCCCUUCUGUUCCAAUUUAGUGAAUAAGGAAUUUAGAAUAGUCCACUUGAAUUAUUCUUUUCCACUAGGCAGAAUAUAAUGCUUAAAGCACUUAGGGUUUUUUUAAUACAGGGUUUUUUUAUAAUGAAAAGAAGCUCAGUUCUAUUUCUGAUGAGAGAAUUUUAGGAGAUGAUAGAAUUCAGAGCUGUGGACCUAUUGAGAUGUUACAUCAGCAAAAACCCAUGUUCAAGUAUUUUAAAACAUUAUGCUCUAGCAGACCUGACUGCUAAUUUUACUAGUCCAAACUUAUUUUCUACAUGACUGAAUCCAGAGAUUAAGUUUCAGCCUAUUACUUUAAAAUAAGAUUGGGUCUGAAGAACAUGCAGAGAGUUCGGGACAAGAUUUCACCUUUAUCAAACUGAACACCUCUAUAGUGCACAUUGUGACUUCAACUAGAAUAAUUUGAAGUGUGUUGCACUGUAUUCCAAUAGGGGCUUUUGUAUUUAACUUUAUAUGCUCUGUCAGCGCAAGUUAAAAACACUACAGUGCCUGCAUUUAUUGAGAGUCUUUUCCCAAAAAUCACAUUUUAAAAACAACCAAAUAAUGGCACUUUGCCACCCAGAUUUGUUUACCCUUGCAUUGAGUAUUUUCUCACUAUAGUGUUGUUUUGCAGAUGUGUCCCUUUUUAUGAGUAGAAAAAUUAACUGGACCAUUCAGCAAACUGAAGGAGGAAAUAAAAAUAAUACAACACCAGCUUUAACAUAGAAUUGUUUUAGCUGCCUUUGUUAUCUGUAUGUGUUUAAAGCAUCCUUGGGCAUGUGAUCAGAUUAGUUCUGAAAUUAGCAGUAUACAAAAGGUAUUUCUGGAUAUGUUAGGAACUUAAAACAUUAUUGUUUGAUUGCUGUAAUUGAAAUUAGCUUAGUUAUUCAGACAUGUUUUGUUGUAGUCAUUCCUAGACAUUUUUUCUUAUUUAUUUAAGAGAAGAGACAUGAAGAGAGCUACCAAAAAAACAACAACCCUUGUACUUUGUUUUAACAGAUGAUCCAUCCAUUGUGUUUCCGUAAAUUUAUAUUCAAGACAGCAAAUUAAGUUUUUAUUUGCAGUCCAGUAUAUUUUAUUUACAAAUAGUAUAAUACAGUCCCAGAAUCAUUACAGAAUAUAGCUUAACAAUUUUCAUAUCUAUAUGUUUAACCAUGACUUUUAAACAGGCAAGUUAUACUUUCUACUAAUUUUUCUACAAAAGUAUAACUUUUAAACAUGGUUAUCAAUAAUAAUAUGAUGUCGGGCAUCAGACUAUCAAAUACCAAUUAUGCACUUUGACAGACACCUUCUCGACUUAAAACAUUUCCACUAAAGGAUAUGGUUGUGCAGUAUAUUGUACUUAGUUGUUCCAAUGCACGAUACAUUGAAUUUUCAGUGUAUUGGAUAUCUCAUUAUUUUUAUUCUCCCACUAGCUUAUAGGCUACAUGCCAUACUCUCAAGACCUUUGGGUGACUAUUGUUAUAAUAAUAAUAAUAAUUUAUUAUUUAUACCGCGCCCAUCUGGCUGGGUUUCCCCAGCCACUCUGGGCGGCUUCCAAAAGAAUAUUAAAAUACUGUGAUACAUCAAACAUUAAAAGCUUCCCUAAACAGGGCUGCCUUCAGAUGUCUUCUAAAAGCCUGGUAGUUGUUGUUCUCUUUGACAUCUGGUGGGAGGGCGUUCCACAGGGAGGGCGCCACUACUGAGAAGGCCCUCUGCCUGGUUCCCUGUAACUUGGCUUCUCGCACUGAGGGAACCGCCAGAAGGCCCUCGGUGCUGGACCUCAGUGUCCGGGUAGAACGAUGGGGGUGGAGACGCUCCUUCAGGUAUACUGGACCGAGGCCGUUUAGGGAUUUAAAGGUCAGCACCAACACUUUGAAUUGUGCUCGGAAACGUACUGGGAGCCAAUGUAGGUCUUUCAAGACCGGUGUUAUAUGGUCUCGGCGGCCGCUCCCAGUCACCAGUCUGGCUGCUGCGUUCUGGAUUAGUUGUAGUUUCCGGGUCACCUUCAAAGGUAGCCCCACGUGGAUCGCAUUGCAGUAGUCCAAGCGGGAGAUAACCAGAGCAUGCACCACUCUGGCAAGGCAGUCCGCAGGCAGAUAGGGUCUCAGCCUGCGUACCAGAUGGAGCUGGUACACAGCUGCCUUGGACACGGAUUUAACCUGUGCCUCCAUGGACAGCUGUGAGUCCAAAAUGACUCCCAGGCUGCGCACCUGGUCCUUCAGGGGCACAGUUACCCCAUUCAGGACCAGGGAAUCCUCCAUACCUGCCCGCCUCCUGUCCCCCAGAAACAGUACUUCUGUCUUGUCAGGAUUCAAUCUCAAUCUGUUAGCCACCAUCCAUCCUCCAACCGCCUCCAGACACUCACACAGGACCGUCACCGCCUUCACUGGUUCUGAUUUGAAAGAGAGGUAGAGCUGUGUAUCAUCCACAUACUGAUGAACACCCAGCCCAAACCCCCUGAUGAUCUCUCCCAGCAGCUGCAUGUAGAUGUUGAAAAGCAUGGGGGAGAGGACAGAACCCUGAGGCACCCCACAAGUGAGAGCCCAGGGGUCUGAACACUCAUCCCCCCCACCACUUUCUGAACACGGCCCAGGAGGAAAGAGCGGAACCACUGUAUGACAGUGCCCCCAGCUCCCAGCCCCUCAAGACGGUCCAGAAGGAUGUUAUGGUCGAUGGUAUCAAAUGCCACUGAGAAAUCCAGCAGAACUAGGCAACAGCUCUCACUUUUGUCCCUAGCCCGCCGGAGAUCAUCAACCAGUGCGACCAAGGCAGUUUCAGUCCCGUGAUGAUUCCUGAAUCCCGACUGGAAGGGAUCCAAAUGGUCCGCUUCUUCCAGGCGUGCCUGGAGUUGUUCAGCAACCACUCGCUCAAUCACCUUGCCCAAGAAUGGAAGAUUUGAGACUGGGCGAUAGUUGGCCAUCGUGGCCGCAUCUAAAGAUGGUUUUUAAGAAGCGGUUUAAUAACCGCCUCUUUCAGUGGGUCUGGGAAGGCUCCUCACGGAGGAAGCAUUCACCACCCCACGAAGCCCAUCGCCCAGCCCUUCCCGGCUAGCUUUUAUAAGCCAGGAUGGGCAAGGAUCAAGGAGACAGGUGGUUGGUUUCACUCGUCCAAGCAGCCUGUCCACAUCCUCGGAGGUAACAGAUUGGAAUUGAUCCCACGCAAUUUGACUAGACAGGACUCUAGCACUCUCCCGCCCGGCCCUGCUCCCACGGUGGCGUCUACCUCUUCCCGAAUCUGAGCGACUUUAUCUGCAAAAAACUUUGCAAAAUCAUUGCAGGAGAUCAUGUGGCCCGUACUGGGCCCCGAUGUAGCAGGUGGUUCCGCUAAAUUGUGGACCAUCUGAAAAAGUCUCCUGCUGCUGUUUUCUGCAGAUGCAAUAGAGGCGGUGAAGAAAGUCUUCUUCGCCAUCGCUACCGCCACUUGGUAGGCUCGACAUUGAGCUCUAACCUGUGUCCGGUCAGCUUCAGAAUGGGUCAUCCGCCACCGGCGCUCUAGCCGUCUCAACGAUUGUUUCAUUGCCCUCAGAUCCGUGGAAAACCACGGGGCUGUCCGGGCUCCAUGCAAUCGGAGAUGGCACUUGGAGCCAAACAGUCAAUAGCCCUGGUUAACUCCACAUUCCAGCGGGCCACCAGGGAAUCAGCUGAAAGGCCAUCAACAUGGGAUAAAGCAUCCCCUACCACUCUCUGGAAACCAUUUGGAUCCAUUAAGUGGCGGGGGCGGACCACCCGAAUCGGUCCCACCUCCCUGCAGAGGGGAAGGGUCGCAGAGAAGUCAAGUUGCACCAGGAAGUGGUCUGACCAUGGCACUUCUUUCGUUUCGCUUUUACUUAGGGUCAGAUCACCAACAUCCAUGGAGGUAAACACCAGGUCCAAGGCAUGUCCGCGGCUAUGGGUUGGGCCAAACUUAUUCAGGGACAGCCCCAUGGAGGCCAUGCUUUCCACGAAGUCCCGAGCGGCCCCUUGUAAGGUCGUGUCGGCAUGGAUAUUAAAAUCCCCUAGGACAACCAAACUAGGUGUCUCCAGGAGAACAUCCGCCACGACCUGAAGCAGCUCGGGCAGGGAAUCCUUGGUGCAGCGGGGAGGUCGGUACACCAAAAGGAAUCCUGUACUGCCCCUAUUGCCCAACUUCCAGAACAUGCACUCAGAGAACUGGGUCUUCCCAAUAGGAUGCCUGGUGCAAACUAAUGACUUCCUAAAAAUCACUGCAACCCCCCCUCCCCACCCACAAGGCCUGGGUUGCUGUGCGUAAGAGAAACCUGGUGGACAAGCAGCGGCAAGAACAGGCCCAUCUGCUUCAUCCAACCAAGUCUCUGUUACACAUGCCAGGUCAAAUCCUCCAUCCAUGAUCAAGUCAUGGAUGGCAGUGGUCUUAUGAAUCAUUGACCUGGCAUUGCACAGCAGCACCUUCAGGUCAUGUGGGUAUCCCUUGCUGAUUCUAGUAUCCGUCCGGUCAGGACCAGACCCGGAGGCAGGGAUAGUCCUCAGACAACGACUAAACCUGCCUCCUCUGUAAUGACAUGGUCUGGUCUUAGCGUAACUCCUCCUCCUACCCGUGAUCACUGAGAUCGGUUGUCCCAGCGCAUCCCCCUCUGUGGAACAUGCCCCAGCCAUUUUGUUGGCUGGGACCCACUCCCCGGCAGCCCUGACCCCUCCCCUUAAGAACAAAAUAAGACC